GCGAUUCCGACUUCAUGGAGUCGAGUUGCAGACUCCAAUCCGGACUACGACGCACUUUAUGAGGUCCGCUUGCUCUCGCGAGGUCGCUUCUCUUUGUAUGCGCCAUUGUAGCACGUGUGUAGCCCUGGUCGUAAGGGCCAUGAUGACUUGACGUCAUCCCCACCUUCCUCCAGUUUAUCACUGGCAGUCUCCUUUGAGUUCCCGGCCGGACCGCUGGCAACAAAGGAUAAGGGUUGCGCUCGUUGCGGGACUUAACCCAACAUUUCACAACACGAAGCUGACGACAGCCAUGCAGCACCUGUCUCACAGUUCCCGAAGGCACCAAUCCAUCUCUGGAAAGUUCUGUGGAUGUCAAGACCAGGUAAGGUUCUUCGCGUUUGCAUCGAAUUAAA
rnacentral:rRNA from 1 species